rnacentral:rRNA from 1 species
GAUGAACGCUGGCGGCGUGCUUAACACAUGCAAGUCGAACGAAGCACUUUAUUUGAUUUCCUUCGGGACUGAUUAUUUUGUGACUGAGUGGCGGACGGGUGAGUAACGCGUGGGUAACCUGCCUUGUACAGGGGGAUAACAGUUGGAAACGGCUGCUAAUACCGCAUAAGCGCACGGCAUCGCAUGAUGCAGUGUGAAAAACUCCGGUGGUAUAGAUGGACCCGCGUUGGAUUAGCUAGUUGGUGAGGUAACGGCCCACCAAGGCGACGAUCCAUAGCCGACCUGAGAGGGUGACCGGCCACAUUGGGACUGAGACACGGCCCAAACUCCUACGGGAGGCAGCAGUGGGGAAUAUUGCACAAUGGGCGAAAGCCUGAUGCAGCGACGCCGCGUGAGCGAAGAAGUAUUUCGGUAUGUAAAGCUCUAUCAGCAGGGAAGAUAAUGACGGUACCUGACUAAGAAGCACCGGCUAAAUACGUG